GAUAGCUCAGUUGGUUAGAGUGUGGUGCUGAUAACGCCAAGGUUGUAGGUUCGAUUGCCGUAAGGGAAAGCUACA